rnacentral:rRNA from 1 species
AGUGAACGCUGGCGGUAGGCCUAACACAUGCAAGUCGAACGGCAGCACAGUAAGAGCUUGCUCUUACGGGUGGCGAGUGGCGGACGGGUGAGGAAUACAUCGGAAUCUACUUUUUCGUGGGGGAUAACGUAGGGAAACUUACGCUAAUACCGCAUACGACCUACGGGUGAAAGCAGGGGAUCUUCGGACCUUGCGCGAUUGAAUGAGCCGAUGUCGGAUUAGCUAGUUGGCGGGGUAAAGGCCCACCAAGGCGACGAUCCGUAGCUGGUCUGAGAGGAUGAUCAGCCACACUGGAACUGGGACACGGUCCAGACUCCUACGGGAGGCAGCAGUGGGGAAUAUUGGACAAUGGGCGCAAGCCUGAUCCAGCCAUCCCGCGUGGGUGAAGAAGGCCUUCGGGUUGUAAAGCCCUUUUGUUGGGAAAGAAAAGCAGCAGGUUAAUACCCCGCUGUUCUGACGGUACCCAAAGAAUAAGCACCGGCUAACUUCGU